GCCCGGUUAGCUCAAUCGGUAGAGCGUGAGACUCUUAAUCUCAAGGUUGCGGGUGAGUAGCUAUGCAUUCAUGCAGACACAAAAAUAAAUACUAAUCUACUAUCACAGGUUCGACCCCCGCAUCGGGCU